CCCAUUUCUUUUUAUGAGGAAGGGCAUUUAGGGGUUCCCCAAAAUCUAAUCUCCCUGCAUGUAACAACCCAGUGCUUUGGAGGACCCCAAAUGACGGGGCUGCUCUGGGCAGGGAUGAGCAGGUCCUGCGUGCCCACAGAGACCCCAGCUGCAGCACUCUCACUCCUCUGCCUCAUUCCGUUCCAAAAAGGCCACCGGGGCACACCCCAGCAUUGCCCACACCAUCUGGGGGGCUCAGCAUCACCAAACCCUCAAAGGCUCAGAAAUAUUUCUUCAGAGGGAGCCGUGUCCCCACAGCCCAGGCUGCCUGCAAUAAAUCCCCCCCAGAGGUGUCAGACAGCAAGCCUCUGUACCACAGGGCUGGACCCAAAUGCACUGGAAACACAGAUGCAGAUCCACCAGCUGCACUCAACACUCAAAGCAGGAAAACAGAGGAAAAGCUGCAUGAGAAGGCAGAAACCAAACCUGUGCCCUGCCAGUGCAAGUUGGGCUGCACAGCUCUCCUUGCCAUUGCUGUCAGCACCUUCACCAGGCCCCCUCCUCUCCUCUCCCUAUCCAGAACCACUGGAAUCACAGAGGAUAAACAAAUGCAUCUGCAAUCCCUCUGUUGGGUAGGAUAUAAGACAACUUUUUAUUAUCCCCGUGGAAGAAUUAUCUCUAAAUCAAAAGGAAAAUAAACUUCUGCCUUGAAGAACUGGUCUUCACAAAAUCAU
rnacentral:lncRNA from 12 species